rnacentral:rRNA from 1 species
UACAGAGGGGGCAAGCGUUAUUCGGAAUUACUGGGCGUAAAGGGCGCGUAGGCGGCCCCUUUUGUCGCGUGUGAAAGCCCCGGGCUCAACCUCGGAAUGUCGGCGGAAACCCUCUGGCUAGAGUCCGGAAGAGGAGAGUGGAAUUCCCGGUGUAGCGGUGAAAUGCGCAGAUAUCGGGAAGAACACCCGUGGCGAAGGCGGCUCUCUGGAACGGUACUGACGCUGAGACGCGAAAGCGUGGGGAGCGAACAGG